UUUACUCAUCUCAUUACCUCUACUUCCCCUCGCCUUGGUUUCCCACCUUCUGGGAGCACAGAAGCAGCUCCAAACGCAUUUGCAGAUUUUGUACCUCCCACGGUAAAGCCCUUGCUGAAAGCCUGACUCGGUGCUGUCACCGAGGCCCAGGUCCUGGAACCACCAUGGGACUUGCGUCAUUUACCUUCCUGUAAUCCUAGUGAGGAGCAGCGAGCCUGAGGCCAAGCCAUUUUCUGUGAUCCCUUUUCUGCUCUUCUCCCGGCUCCUGACCCAGCUGGACUCAUCAGUGGGCUCCUCUGACUUUUGGCUUCCCGCCAGGUUGGGCAGGACAUCUGGAGGAGGCCCGAAGGCUGAGCUCAGGUACGAAUCGCCCGAUCCAUGCCUGGUCUUUCUCUGCCAAAUGUGGCCUCUCGUUCUUAGCUCUGGUGGCAGCCCCCUCCCCACUGCCCUUCUGGCCUCGGUGGGUGGCUGUUACUAGCUCUAGGAUAUCACACUAUGCCGUGUUGGUUUUCCUCACUCCGCCCUUGCCUUUAUAAAUAACUCCUUGAUUAAACUCUCCAA